rnacentral:rRNA from 1 species
CUCGUAGGCGGCCAACUAAGUCGGACGUGAAAUCCCUCGGCUUAACCGGGGAACUGCGUCCGAUACUGGAUGGCUUGAGUGUGGGAGAGGGAUGCGGAAUUCCAGGUGUAGCGGUGAAAUGCGUAGAUAUCUGGAGGAACACCGGUGGCGAAGGCGGCAUCCUGGACCACGACUGACGCUGAGGAGCGAAAGCCAGGGGAGCAAACG